CCUACGGGUGGCAGCAGUCGAGAAUCAUUCACAAUGGGGGAAACCCUGAUGGUGCGACGCCGCGUGGGGGAAUGAAGGUCUUCGGAUUGUAAACCCCUGUCAUGUGGGAGCAAAUUAAAAAGAUAGUACCACAAGAGGAAGAGACGGCUAACUCUGUCCCAGCAGCCGCGGUAAUACAGAGGUCUCAAGCGUUGUUCGGAAUCACUGGGGGGAAAGCGUGCGUAGGCUGUUUCGUAAAUCGUGUGUGAAAGGCGCGGGCUCAACCCGCGGACGGCACAUGAUACUGCGAGACUAGAGUAAUGGAGGGGGAACCGGAAUUCUCGGUGUAGCAGUGAAAUGCGUAGAUAUCGAGAGGAACACUCGUGGCGAAGGCGGGUUCCUGGACAUUAACUGACGCUGAGGCACGAAGGCCAGGGGAGCGAAAGGGAUUAGAUACCCGAGUAGUC
rnacentral:rRNA from 1 species